UACGAAGGGGGCUAGCGUUGUUCGGAAUCACUGGGCGUAAAGCGCACGCAGGCGGAUCGUUAAGUCAGGGGUGAAAUGCCGAGGCUCAACCUCGGAACUGCCUUUGAUACUGGCGAUCUUAGAGUCCGGGAGAGGUGAGUGGAACUCCGAGUGUAGAGGUGAAAAUUCGUAGAUAUUCGGAAGAACACCAGUGGCGAAGGCGGCUCACUGGCCCGGUACUGACGCUCAGGUGCGAAAGCGUGGGGAGCAAACAGG
rnacentral:rRNA from 1 species